AACGAACGCUGGCGGCGCGCCUAAUACAUGCAAGUCGAGCGAGAAGACGUAGCAAUACGUUUGUAAAGCGGCGAACGGGUGAGGAAUACAUGGGUAACCUACCCUCGAGUGGGGAAUAACUAGCCGAAAGGUUAGCUAAUACCGCGUACGCUCCUUGGACUUCGGUUCAGGGAGGAAAGCGAUACCGUGGGUAUCGCGCUCAUGGAUGGGCUCAUGUCCUAUCAGCUUGUUGGNGAGGUAACGGCUCACCAAGGCUUCGACGGGUAGCUGGUCUGAGAGGACGAUCAGCCACACUGGCACUGCGACACGGGCCAGACUCCUACGGGAGGCAGCAGUAAGGAAUAUUGCGCAAUGGGCGAAAGCCUGACGCAGCGACGCCGCGUGGGGGAUGAAGGUCUUCGGAUUGUAAACCCCUUUCGGGAGGGAAGAUGGAACGAGCAAUCGUUCGGACGGUACCUCCA
rnacentral:rRNA from 1 species